rnacentral:rRNA from 1 species
GACGAACGCUGGCGGCGUGCCUAAUACAUGCAAGUUGAGCGCUGAAGGUUGGUACUUGUACCAACUGGAUGAGCAGCGAACGGGUGAGUAACGCGUGGGGAAUCUGCCUUUGAGCGGGGGACAACAUUUGGAAACGAAUGCUAAUACCGCAUAAAAACUUUAAACACAAGUUUUAAGUUUGAAAGAUGCAAUUGCAUCACUCAAAGAUGAUCCCGCGUUGUAUUAGCUAGUUGGUGAGGUAAAGGCUCACCAAGGCGAUGAUACAUAGCCGACCUGAGAGGGUGGUCGGCCACAUUGGGACUGAGACACGGCCCAAACUACUACGGGAGGCAGCAGUAGGGAAUCUUCGGGAAUGGACGAAAGUCUGACCGGGCAACGCCGCGUGAGUGAAGAAGGUUUUCGGAUCGGAAAACUCUGUUGGUAGAGAAGAACGUUGGUGAGAGUGGAAAGCUCAUCAAGUGACGGUAACUACCCAGAAAGGGACGGCUAACUACGUG